rnacentral:snRNA from 1 species
AUACGGGCGAGAGACCGAU